UACGGAGGGUGCAAACGUUGCUCGGAAUCACUGGGCGUAAAGGGUGCGUAGGCGGGUUUUUAAGUCAGGGGUGAAAUCCUGGAGCUCAACUCCAGAACUGCCUUUGAUACUGAAGAUCUUGAGUCCGGGAGAGGUGAGUGGAACUGCGAGUGUAGAGGUGAAAUUCGUAGAUAUUCGCAAGAACACCAGUGGCGAAGGCGGCUCACUGGCCCGGUACUGACGCUGAGGCACGAAAGCGUGGGGAGCAAACAGGG
rnacentral:rRNA from 1 species